rnacentral:rRNA from 1 species
UACGGAGGAUGCGAGCGUUAUCCGGAUUUAUUGGGUUUAAAGGGUGCGUAGGCGGGCUUUUAAGUCAGCGGUAAAAAUUCGGGGCUCAACCCCGUCCGGCCGUUGAAACUGGGGGUCUUGAGUGGGCGAGAAGAAGGCGGAAUGCGUGGUGUAGCGGUGAAAUGCAUAGAUAUCACGCAGAACUCCGAUUGCGAAGGCAGCGUACCGGCAUCCAACUGACGCUGAGGCACGAAAGCGUGGGGAGCAAAUAGG